rnacentral:tRNA from 1 species
GCCCCGGUAGCUCAGCCUGGUAGAGCGCCAGCUUGGUAAGCUGGAGGCCGCGGGUUCAAAACCCGCCCGGGGCU